GGAACAUAUUGUUUUUCAUAACUGUUUCUUUAAGCAAUAACCUCAGUGCAUAAUAUGUUUGCGCCAUUUUGUCCCAGACGAAUUACAAUAACAAUAAUGCAUAAACAAGCUUCAAGGCUAUGCUACGUCUCUUGCAGUACACAAUAUACUGUGGUAACCCCAAGUUAAUGGAACUUCCCCAAAUCCUGGAAUCUCCCGCGACUGUACACUUACGACUUAGUAUAAACAACAGAUAACCUAUUCAGACUUUAAGAUGACAUCUUGAACUAAGUCAGGAAAAUUUCCAUGACGUAUACACACUUUAGUUAUGGCCUUGUAUGUUUGCCAAAUUAAG
rnacentral:lncRNA from 1 species